rnacentral:rRNA from 1 species
GAUGAACGUUGGCGGUGUGCCUAAUACAUGCAAGUCGAACGGAGUUAAUAGCAAUAUUGACUUAGUGGCGAACGGGUGAGUAACGCGUUGGUGAUCUUGCCUUGAAGUGUGGAAUAACGCUCCGAAAGGAGCGCUAAUACCGCAUGUGCUCUCAAUUUUUAGAAACUUGAGAGGAAAGGAUUUAUUCGCUUCGAGAGGAGCCUGCGUCCCAUCAGCUGGUUGGUAGGGUAAAGGCCUACCAAGGCAAUGACGGGUAGGGGACCUGAGAGGGUGGCCCCCCAAAAUGGAACUGAAACACGGUCCAUACACCUACGGGUGGCAGCAGUAGGGAAUAUUAGAAUGGAACGAAAGUCUGAUCUAGCAACACCGCGUGUGACGAAGAAGGUCCUUCGGGUACGUAAAGCUACUUUUUAGGGAAGGAAUAGGAAGGAAUGUACUUCCAGAAUAAGUCUCGGACUAACUACGUG